UACGUAGGGGGCAAGCGUUGUCCGGAUUUAUUGGGCGUAAAGAGCGUGUAGGCGGCCGUACAGGUCAGCUGUGAAAACUCGAGGCUCAACCUCGAGACGUCGGUUGAAACCGUACGGCUAGAGUCCGGAAGAGGAGAGUGGAAUUCCCGGUGUAGCGGUGAAAUGCGCAGAUAUCGGGAAGAACACCCGUGGCGAAGGCGGUCUGCUGGGCAGUUGCUGACGCUGAUGCGCGACAGCGUGGGGAGCAAACAGG
rnacentral:rRNA from 1 species